rnacentral:rRNA from 1 species
ACGGAAGGGCAGCAGUGGGGAAUAUUGCACAAUGGGCGAAAGCCUGAUGCAGCGACGCCGCGUGAGUGAAGAAGUUAUUCGUAAUGUAAAGCUCUAUCAGCGGGGAAGAAAAUGACGGUACCUGACUAAGAAGCUCCGGCUAAAUACGUGCCAGCAGCCGCGGUAAUACGUAUGGAGCAAGCGUUAUCCGGAUUUACUGGGUGUAAAGGGAGCGUAGACGGAUGUGCAAGUCUGAUGUGAAAGGCCACGGCUUAACUGUGGGACUGCAUUGGAAACUGUACAUCUGGAGUGCCGGAGAGAUAAGCGGAAUUCCUAGUGUAGCGGUGAAAUGCGUAGAUAUUAGGGGGAACACCAGUGGCGAAGGCGGCUUACUGGACGGUAACUGACGUUGAGGCUCGAAAGCGUGGGGAGCAAACAGGAUUAGAUACCCUGGUA